UUCGCCCUUAGAGUUUGAUCCUGGCUCAGGACGAACGCUGGCGGCGCGCCUAACACAUGCAAGUCGAACGAGAGAGAGGGAGCUUGCUUCCUCAAUCGAGUGGCGAACGGGUGAGUAACGCGUGAGGAACCUGCCUCAAAGAGGGGGACAACAGUUGGAAACGACUGCUAAUACCGCAUAAGCCCACAGGUCGGCAUCGACCAGAGGGAAAAGGAGCAAUCCGCUUUGAGAUGGCCUCGCGUCCGAUUAGCUAGUUGGUGAGGUAACGGCCCACCAAGGCAACGAUCGGUAGCCGGACUGAGAGGUUGAACGGCCACAUUGGGACUGAGACACGGCCCAGACUCCUACGGGAGGCAGCAGUGGGGGAUAUUGCACAAUGGGGGAAACCCUGAUGCAGCGACGCCGCGUGGAGGAAGAAGGUUUUCGGAUUGUAAACUCCUGUCGUUAGGGACGAUAAUGACGGUACCUAACAAGAAAGCACCGACUAACUACGUGCCAGCAGCCGCGGUAAAACGUAGGGUGCAAGCGUUGUCCGGAAUUACUGGGUGUAAAGGGAGCGCAGGCGGGAAGACAAGUUGGAAGUGAAAACCAUGGGCUCAACCCAUGAAUUGCUUUCAAAACUGUUUUUCUUGAGCAGUGCAGAGGUAGAUGGAAUUCCCGGUGUAGCGGUGGAAUGCGUAGAUAUCGGGAGGAACACCAGUGGCGAAGGCGGUCUACUGGGCACCAACUGACGCUGAGGCUCGAAAGCAUGGGUAGCAAACAGGAUUAGAUACCCUGGUAGUCCAUGCCGUAAACGAUGAUUACUAGGUGUUGGGGGAUUGACCCCCUCAGUGCCGCAGUUAACACAAUAAGUAAUCCACCUGGGGAGUACGACCGCAAGGUUGAAACUCAAAGGAAUUGACGGGGGCCCGCACAAGCAGUGGAGUAUGUGGUUUAAUUCGAAGCAACGCGAAGAACCUUACCAGGUCUUGACAUCCGAUGCAUAGCACAGAGAUGUGUGAAAUCCUUCGGGACAUCGAGACAGGUGGUGCAUGGUUGUCGUCAGCUCGUGUCGUGAGAUGUUGGGUUAAGUCCCGCAACGAGCGCAACCCUUAUUGCCAGUUACUACGUUAAGAGGACUCUGGCGAGACUGCCGUUGACAAAACGGAGGAAGGUGGGGAUGACGUCAAAUCAUCAUGCCCUUUAUGACCUGGGCUACACACGUACUACAAUGGCGUUAAACAAAGAGAAGCAAGACCGCGAGGUGGAGCAAAACUCAAAAACAACGUCUCAGUUCAGAUUGCAGGCUGCAACUCGCCUGCAUGAAGUCGGAAUUGCUAGUAAUCGCGGAUCAGCAUGCCGCGGUGAAUACGUUCCCGGGCCUUGUACUCACCGCCCGUCA
rnacentral:rRNA from 1 species